rnacentral:rRNA from 1 species
CACGUAGGGUGCGAGCGUUGUCCGGAAUUAUUGGGCGUAAAGAGCUCGUAGGCGGUCUGUCGCGUCGAUCGUGAAAACUUGGGGCUUAACCCUGAGCUUGCGGUCGAUACGGGCAUGACUGGAGUUCGGCAGGGGAGACUGGAAUUCCUGGUGUAGCGGUGAAAUGCGCAGAUAUCAGGAGGAACACCGGUGGCGAAGGCGGGUCUCUGGGCCGGAACUGACGCUGAGGUGCGAAAGCGUGGGGAGCAAACAGG